GGAAUGUAUAGCUAAUUCUACUUCUUUUAGAGACAAAUCGUUAUGUUUGUAGGCUAUAUUACACACGAUGAAUAUCAUGUAAUUGAGUUUGCAAUACUUCUAGCUGUUCUUUGCUUCGCAUUAUUUCCCUGGGUUUAAACAUUAAAGUUAGCUUCAUCCCUAUAACUUGAUCGACCUAAACGCUAUUCAUAGCGCUCUACUUAUUCUAUUAACCAAAACCAACCCAAAAUAAUCAACACUUCCCAUACUCACCAAUGUUCACUCUCUGAUAUGCAGUACUAUGUGGCAUCUCGGAUAUAUAUAUAUAGGCCGGAUAUGAAGCGCACG
rnacentral:lncRNA from 1 species